CUAACAAGGAUUCCCCUAGUAACUGCGAGUGAAGCGGGAAAAGCUCAAAUUUAAAAUCUGUCAGUCUUUGGCUGUCCGAGUUGUAAUCUAGAGAAGCGUUAUCCGCGUUGGACCGUGUACAAGUCUCCUGGAAUGGAGCAUCAUAGAGGGUGAGAAUCCCGUCUUUGACACGGACUGCCAGGGCUUUGUGAUGCGCUCUCAAAGAGUCGAGUUGUUUGGGAAUGCAGCUCAAAAUGGGUGGUAAAUUCCAUCUAAAGCUAAAUAUUGGCGAGAGACCGAUAGCGAACAAGUACCGUGAGGGAAAGAUGAAAAGAACUUUGGAAAGAGAGUUAAACAGUACGUGAAAUUGCUGAAAGGGAAACGCUUGAAGUCAGUCGCGUUGUCCAGGGAUCAACCUUGCUUUUGCUUGGUGUACUUUCUGGUUGACGGGUCAGCAUCAAUUUUGACUAUUGGAAAAAGAUCAGGGGAAUGUGGCAUCGCUUUUGAUGUGUUAUAGCCCUUGGUUGCAUACAAUGGUUGGGAUUGAGGAACUCAGCACGCCGCAAGGCCGGGUUUUAACCACGUACGUGCUUAGGAUGCUGGCAUAAUGGCUUUAAUCGACCCGUCUUGAAACACGGACCAAGGAGUCUAACAUGCCUGCGAGUGUUUGGGUGGAAAACCCGAGCGCGUAAUGAAAGUGAAAGUUGAGAUCCCUGUCGUGGGGAGCAUCGACGCCCGGACCAGACCUUUUGUGACGGUUCCGCGGUAGAGCAUGUAUGUUGGGACCCGAAAGAUGGUGAACUAUGCCUGAAUAGGGUGAAGCCAGAGGAAACUCUGGUGGAGGCUCGUAGCGAUUCUGACGUGCAAAUCGAUCGUCAAAUUUGGG
rnacentral:rRNA from 1 species